rnacentral:lncRNA from 1 species
GCCUCCUUCAGGGACAUCGGGCUGAGGGCUCUAUAAAAGCCCAGGCAGGUGCGAGGUGAGCACACUCCAGCGCCCGCGCAGCCGCCCUGCCUCCUGCCCUCCUGGCCAGCACCAUGCUCAGCAAGGCCGUGAUCUUCGCUGCCCUGUGUGCCCUGGCUGUGACUCUUCCCUCAGCACCUCCUGAAAUAACCGGUGAGGCAGUGGAAUCAAAUGCGGACGCGGACUCAACCACACAGCAGGCCAGGAAUGCCCGCCCAUUCCCUGACGGGGACGUAGCCUUGGGGGAAGGAGUCACCGUGGCCGCAGCUGAGGACAGUACCAUUCUGGCACGGAGCUUCAGGAGAGCAGAUUUGGCUGUCACUGGUGGUAACUCUGAAGGGGCCCUGAGUGGAGCAACAGAUCAUCCCAUGACCGGCGCAGCAAGCAAGUAGCACAUCUCAGUCCGUGCUUAAAAUGAAGCAAAUUCUCCACUAGCUGUGACUAUCACUGUGCUAUCCAUCGCUUUCUAAGAAGAUUCUGAGCUUUUUGACAAGGCUACCACUACACUAUAGAAGAUUACAUAAUCAUAGAGAAUAAGAGAAGCAUAGGAUGUGCCCAGCUGAGGGGCAACAGGCCUUGAUCCUGGCUGGGUGGCGGGAAUCAAACACAAAUGGGGGUGGGGAAUUUCAUAGCUGUGCCCCAUUUAAUAUGGGCUCAAUAAAUGUUCGUUUGAAUUAAAUUUUAAGAGUGGAUUUAUUU